rnacentral:misc_RNA from 1 species
GCAAACUUGGUCAUUUAGAGGAAGUAAAAGUCGUAACAAGGUUUCCGUAGGUGAACCUGCGGAAGGAUCAUUACUGAGAAAGGACUUCGGUCCGAUCCUCUCACCCAAUAUCUAUAUCACCACUGUUGCUUCGGCAGGUCGAUACAUUCUCAUGGGAUGCACCAUCGGCUUUAAAGCUGUUGUGCACUUGCCGAAGGAUAUUUUCAUUCAUUUGAAAAAGUUAUCUGAUAAAAUGUUAAAUACCAAAACUUUCAACAAUGGAUCUCUUGGUUCUGGCAUCGAUGAAGAACGCAGC